AUACAUCGAGUAGUUCAUAUGCUCCGCCGGUGGAAUCAGGAAUUAUUUCACCUCAAAAACCAGUACCGUCCCUGCCGUCUCAAUAUGGAUCCCCAUCACCACAUUUGCCUCCCGCUCCGCCACCUUUUCCCUCGCCUCCAGCAGAAGCACCUGCCUCUUCCACUUCUCAUACUCCAUCGGCAAAUGAACCGUCAGUUGCUCCCCCUCCGGUACCAGCUUCAGCUCCUCCUUCUCCGGGUCCAGCAUCGCCAUCGCACCACAAAGAUAAUGGAUCCUUUCACUAUCAUUUCCAUUAUCACCGGUCGAAGAAUCCUUUAAAUGGUUGUCCAAGUGAAUGUUCUAACUCGGUCCUAUGUUCUCCUCAGUCUUGUCCGUUACAUUGUUGUAAGCGAGACGGAAACGAUUACAUUGACGACGAUGAA